AUUGAACGCUGGCGGCAUGCCUUACACAUGCAAGUCGAACGGUAACAGGUCUUCGGAUGCUGACGAGUGGCAAACGGGUGAGUAAUACAUCGGAACGUGCCUAGUAGUGGGGGAUAACUACUCGAAAGAGUGGCUAAUACCGCAUGAGAUCUACGGAUGAAAGCAGGGGAUCGCAAGACCUUGUGCUACUAGAGCGGCCGAUGGCAGAUUAGGUAGUUGGUGGGAUAAAAGCUUACCAAGCCGACGAUCUGUAGCUGGUCUGAGAGGACGAUCGGCCACACUGGGACUGGGAAACGGCCCAGACUCCUACGGGAGGCAGCAGUGGGGAAUUUUGGACAAUGGGCGCAAGCCUGAUCCAGCAAUGCCGCGUGCAGGAUGAAGGCCUUCGGGUUGUAAACUGCUUUUGUACGGAACGAAAAGCCCCGGGUUAAUACCCUGGGGUCAUGACGGUACCGUAAGAAUAAGCACCGGCUAACUACGUGCCAGCCGCCGCCGUAA
rnacentral:rRNA from 1 species